UGGGGAAUAUUGCACAAUGGGCGCAAGCCUGAUGCAGCCAUGCCGCGUGUAUGAAGAAGGCCUUCGGGUUGUAAAGUACUUUCAGCGGGGAGGAAGGGAGUAAAGUUAAUACCUUUGCUCAUUGACGUUACCCGCAGAAGAAGCACCGGCUAACUCCGUGCCAGCAGCCGCGGUAAUACGGAGGGUGCAAGCGUUAAUCGGAAUUACUGGGCGUAAAGCGCACGCAGGCGGUUUGUUAAGUCAGAUGUGAAAUCCCCGGGCUCAACCUGGGAACUGCAUCUGAUACUGGCAAGCUUGAGUCUCGUAGAGGGGGGUAGAAUUCCAGGUGUAGCGGUGAAAUGCGUAGAGAUCUGGAGGAAUACCGGUGGCGAAGGCGGCCCCCUGGACGAAGACUGACUCUCAGGUGCGAAAGCGGGGGGAGCAAACAGG
rnacentral:rRNA from 1 species